rnacentral:rRNA from 1 species
GGAAUAUUGGACAAUGGGCGCAAGCCUGAUCCAGCCAUCCCGCGUGAGUGAUGAAGGCUCUCGGGUCGUAAAGCUCUGUGGGGAGAGACGAAACCUGAAGGGGAUAAUACCCUUUCAGCUGACGGUAUAUCCUUAGCAAGCACCGGCUAACUCCGUGCCAGCAGCCGCGGUAACACGGAGGGUGCAAACGUUGCUCGGAAUCAUUGGGCGUAAAGCGCGCGUAGGCGGCCUGAUAAGUCGGUUGUGAAAGCCCUCGGCUUAACCGGGGAAGUGCAUUCGAAACUGUCAGGCUUGAGUAUGGGAGAGGAUUGCGGAAUUCCCGGUGUAGAGGUGAAAUUCGUAGAUAUCGGGAGGAACACCAGAGGCGAAGGCGGCAAUCUGGACCAAUACUGACGCUGAGGUGCGAAAGCGUGGGGAGCAAA